rnacentral:rRNA from 1 species
UAAGGAAUAUUGGACAAUGGACGCAAGUCUGAUCCAGCCAUGCCGCGUGGAGGAAGAAGGUCCUCUGGAUUGUAAACUCCUUUUAUUCGGGGCUAAAAUGGGGCUAUACGCCGUAUUGAAGGUACCGAAGGAAUAAGCCACGGCUAACUACGUGCCAGCAGCCGCGGUAAUACGUAGGUGGCAAGCGUUGUCCGGAUUUAUUGGGUUUAAAGGGUGCGUAGGCGGCUUGAUAAGUCAGUGGUAAAAUCGUGUGGCUUAACCAUACUUCGCCAUUGAUACUGUUAGGCUAGAAUGCGGGUGAGGAUGCUGGAAUGAGUGGUGUAGCGGUGAAAUGCAUAGAUAUCACUCAGAACACCGAUUGCGAAGGCAGGCAUCUGGUCCGCUAUUGACGCUGAGGCAC